GUUGAGUGUCUCCAAAUAUGAAGAUAAUUCGUGACCUUGAAAGUUCUAAAAUGACCUUGAGUCUACUUGCUUCUUGAAAUCUAGGUAAGGUUAUUCUUUGAACUUCCUAUGGAAGUUCAAAGCCCUCCCUGUGAUUUCUGCAAUUUCUAUGUUUCUGCCUGGGCAUGGCUUAUAAUCACGUGGAGAGGAUGUUAAGACAAAAAUGGCUGGGCUAGGCCCUCAUCAAUUCUGAUUCAGCAGGUCUGUGGGGAGGCCCAGAAUUUGCAUUUCUCACAAGCUCUUAGAUGAUGCUGAUGCCACUGGCUCUUAGACCACACUUGUGUAACAAGUGCUGCCCUGGAGCCGUGGUUCUCAAGGUGUCUUGGUCCAUUUGUGUUGCUACGAAGGAAUAUCUGAGGCUAAGUAAUUCAUAAAAGAGGCUUAUUUGGCUCAUGGUGUUGCAGACUGUACAAAAAUCAUGGUGCCAGCAUCUGCAUCUGCGGAGGGCCUCAGGCUGCUUCCACUUAUGGUGAAAGGGAAAGGGGAGUCAGCACAUGCAGAGAUCAUAUGGUGAGAAAGGAAGCAAGACAGAGAGGAGGGAGGUGCCAGGUUCUUUUUAGCAAUCAGUUCUACAGAGUGAAAACUACUCAUUUUCACCAAGAGCGCACCAAGCCAUUCAUGAGAAAUCCAUCCCUAUGACCCAAACACUUCCCAUUAGUCCCCAUCUCCAAUAUUGGGUUCAAAUUUCAACAUGAGGUUUGGAGGGUUCAAUAUCCAAGCUAUAUAUACCUUAAAACUUAGCGUCGGAAUCACCUAGAGAGCUUAAUAAAACACAGACUGCUGGCUGCCAUCCCAGAGUUUCUGAUUCAAGAGGUCUGGGGUGGGGCCCCCAGAUUUUCAUUUCUAACAAGUUCCCAGGUGAUGCUGAUGCUGCUGGUCCCAGCAUCAAACUUUGAGUAAUGGUUCUUCAGAGGACCCUCCUUUGAUCCUCCUUCAGCUGUGCCCUUCCCUACAGGGGAGUCUUGGGACCAAGGGACCAUCCUCUUCCCCACUAGACCCUACUCUGGGUACUUGAGAUCCUUGUACAACUAGCCUUGAGCCCACUUCCAGGGCCUGCAUGGGGACUAUUCAUAGGAGGUGGGAGGGGAGUGGAUGGAGUUGGAUGUACAGGCUGGGAUGUCCACAUGCCAUGUGAGGUCCUUGUAGUUCAGGAUGGAGCCGAGGUUGAGAAGAAUGGGGGAUGGAACCAGAGCCCAAACAUUCCUGUGCAGGUAGCAUCAUUUCCUCCAUUUAGGACCAUCCUGACCAGAGAUGAGAAACAUGACAAUUAGGAACAUAGGUUCUCAAGUCACGCAUACUUCCAUUCAAUCCAUGACUCUGAACUCUUUCCCCCGUGACCUCAGGUAAGUUAUUAAACCUCUAUGAACCUAGUCUCUGCAUCUGUAAAAUUGGAAUAAUGCCAAAUACCUACCUCAUUGGUCUUUUGGCAAGAGCUACUGCAGUAAGGUAUAUAAGGCAUUUAGCAUGAGCCUUGGAAUGUAGUAAAUGGUUGAAACUAUUGCUCUUGCUGUUGUUAUUAUUAGUUGCUGCUUUAUUAAGUCCUGUGGUGGGCGGAGCACCUGUUAUUCAUCACUGUCUUCUUGCCUUGUGCCAGAGAAAUCCAGGCACCUUCUGAGCAGGAUUUAGGCUCCUGGUGCUCUCCUCUGGCUGCUCUUUGCUCCAUCCUGCUCACAGCCCAAAGUCCUAUAUUGAAGACCAUGAAUAAAGGAUGCUAGAGUUUAGAAGAUAACAUGCCUUUUUUGUAAAUGGCUAAUCUGAAUGAGCAACUUCAUAGAAAAUAGUACUUUCUUGCUGCUGUAAUUAGAAGUUUCAUGAAUCUAUUUGUGGUCGAGAUAGUAACAUUUAUGAAAAAUAGUGCAUUCAAUUAUUUGACCCUUGCUCCCAUUUUUCAAAGGUUUAAUUUAUGUUUUCUUUGCUUUGUGACUGCUUUAGAUACAGUGAUGAAAUAUGAGUGUCUUUGUGAGUGCUUAGGCAGCCCCCAUGGAUGUUGGAGUGUGGGCCUGUGUGAAUGAGUGCCUCUCCUCAUGUAUAUAUGAGAAUUCCAACCUCCAGCAGCAGCAAUGAUAACCUAACUUGUACUUUCACCAGGCUUUCAACAGGGCCAUCCAGUCCUACUUUCUACAAUGAUGAGAGUAUCCUUUCUUUGUGUUGUCGAAAAUGCAGCCACUAGCCACAUGUGGCUAUGAGCACUUGGAAGGUGACCAAAGGGACCUUAGGUGAAAAUUGAAUUCUGAAUUUUGUUUACUUUUCAUUAACUUAAAUUUAAAUAGUCACUUAGCAUUAGUAGCUACCAUGUCGGGCAAUGCGGAUUAAGAAGGUACUUGCUGACUUGAUCUUUGCUACUUCUCUGAGAGAGGAAUGGAGAAAUGUAUCAUCUUAUUGACAAUGAAACUUUGGAGUGGAAAGGCGGUGUGACUGAUUUAAGAUCACAGUGCAGUGAUCACACGUGGGUAUGAGGCAGGCGGUCAUCCACCCCAUCACCACAGGUAACCUGCUUCUUCAGAGCCUGAGAAAGUCUAAUACCUGAACUACUAAGAAAAAGACAAACACUUCAAUAGAAAAAAAUGGAGAGGAUAAAAAAGUAACAUUCAAAAAUUCAAAAGCAUUCUUACAUACUAGGAGUAAUCAAUUAGAAAAUAUAGGCUUUCGAUAUGAAGAAAAGUUGUGAAACUGUCCAGAAGGCCACAAAGGAAGAUGUGAAUAAACAGAGACAAAUUGUGUUCCUGGUGGGAAGCCCCAGUAGGUCAGUUCUACACAAAGUAAUUUAUAAAUACAAAGCAAUUCCCUUAAGAACCUUAGGGAUAUUUCAUGGAGUUUUUCAAACUGAAGAAAAAAAUGCACCUGGAGUAGAAAAUGUAAGAGAAUAGCAUAGACAUUUAAAAAUAUAAAUCAGAGGCUUGGAGGGGCAGGGAAACACAUGACAAAGUAAUAAUAACUAAAACAAUAUGGGGAUGGUGUGUAAAUAGCCUGAAGGACAAAUGCAACAGGGCAGAGAGUCCAGAACGAACCCAUGUAUGUGUGGAAACUAGGAUGUGAUAGCAGCAAUGCCUCAGGCCAGUAGGAAAAGAUGGCAGUUCUGUCCUGCACUGUGAUUUAUAGUGAAAAAUUCAAAACAAAUGUCCCACAAUAGAAAAUUAAUAAAAUAUCUUUUAAGACUAUGCAUUCAUGAGAUGACAAAAUAAACCAUUUUAAAACUAUGAUAUUACUAAAUGACAAAAUGAUAAACAUUAUUUAUGGAGAUGUAUAUGAUAUACUGUUCAGUGAGCACAAAAACACACUUUACAAAAUAGUAAAAAGGGCUGGGCGUAGUGGCUCAUGCCUGUAAUCCCAGCACGUUGGGAUGCCAAGCAGGGGCGGAUCACCUGAGGUCAGGAGUUCGAGGCCAGCCCUGCCAACAUGGC
rnacentral:lncRNA from 1 species